CUUCAGAUUAUAUAUUAUUUGUUUAAACUAAUAUCUUAACCAAGAACAUUCUUGAGUACAUAUACUUGAUUUAAAGUUUCAGGAAUAAUUUUAAAAAGGGUCACAAUUCAAACCCCCCCCCCCCCCCUUUCUUGCGACGAUUAUUGCUACUUCAGCUGUUGCUCCCCCGGAGGUGUUACCUGUGGACCCUCCCUUUUCUAGAGGACCGGAAGACCAAUCUUUGUUGCACUCUUAUACAAAUCAUGUGGCAUUGCCGCUUUGGUAUAAUUCAGAGAACGUUCGUAAGCUGCGUGUUGUAAAACCGAUUAAUAAUGAGGCUAAGAUCUUGAGUCUCGAACGCCCAAAUGGGAAUCAGGAUUGGUUUCGGGAUCCGCUUAGGGAGAGCGGAUUACAUGAUUUCGUUUACCUGUGCUACACAAUUAUACCUCAUGCCCUACUGAUGACUCUAUGCGAGAGGUAGCAUCUCGAGACCAACACUUUUCACAUGCCCUUGGGGGAGAUGACUGUGACUUUGGAUGAUGUCGCAUGUCUUAUGCAUCUUCAGAUUGAGGGGCGGAUGUUGAGCCAUGGGAAGAAGAUGCUGAGACAUGAGGGAGCGACACUACUGAUGAGGCACUUGGGUGUGUCGCAGCAGGAGGCGGAGAAAAUUUGUGGUACAGAGGCGUGUAGGCCUGGAGAUAGAGCUCUUGGGGGAAGCGUGUCACUGCUCACUACAUGGUUUUUGGCGCAUUUUCAUGGCUUUUACAGUGUUGAUCACAACAUCGACUACAUGGAAAACUAUCCGGUUGCAGCGAGGUGAAAGCUUUAGAAGGGUCAUGAAGAGGGGGUCACAUAUCGGUCACUGCUUGAUCGUAUUCAGUUUGAUGACGUAUGUUGGAGGUCGUACGAAGAGCACAGGGAGAUCCAGGAUUUUGAGGAGGUUUUCUGGUAUUCAGGCUGGAUUAUGUGCGGUGUUCGUAGGGUCUACCAUCACUUUCCCGAGAGGGUUUUGAGGCAGUACGUAUACGUCAAGACCGUCCCUAGACAUCCGACGGAUGUUGUAGAGCUGCCACCGCCUCAGAUUGUGCAGGCAUUCGUUGACUUCCGCACUCACAUGUAACACCCCGUUUCCCAAAAUCAAUUUAAUUAUAAUUAUAAAAUCAGAGUUCC